GCUCGCUAUCCUUCCGCCUCCGCUCGGCAUCUUUCCCGAGCCUCGCUCGCUCGCCAUCCCCGCUCGCCUGCGCCCGCGGCCCUUGUUCCCGCGCGCUCGGCCCUCGCUCCCGCGCCGAUUUUCCCGCUCCCGCACUUCUGUUGCCUAUUUCGCGCGCGCCCCUGUUGUUCCCCCACCAAAUCGCCGCCAAGGUUCGUCUGCCGAGGCACCAAAUCGAAGCUCCUGGAUCCAGUCUCCGCGCCGCCGUAGUUGCCAUGUCCCGGCCGCCGCGUCCCCGAGGUGCGUCGACUGCCGGCCUCCGCCGGGUGGGUUCAGGGUCAUCUCCUGGCCAGGAGUUCCCGCUAGGAUUUGAGGAUGCGGACGCCAGACGCGGUGACGGUCCGGAGGUGGGCGACAACAUGAGCCAUGAUAGCAAGACAAUUCCUGCUAGGAUUUUUCUUUGCUCUGAAAGAACUGCAUGAUGUGUUGAUGGAAAAAGGGCAACGAUAGUUAAAUGUCAUGGUGAAUGGUAUAUGUGAUGGUCUUUGGACAACACCAACCAGAGUGAUUUGCUUUCAAGUAAUCACUGAUCAUUCAUUAGCAGUGCUCAGUGUCCCAUUUUUUAGAUGCUUAGAAGAAUUUAAUAUUUUUUCUUACAGAAAGCAAUAGAAUAGUUACAUUAGCUCUCUAGAAAAUUAAUUCAGUGGCAUUGAUUCUCCAUAAACAAAAAUCGCUGCCACUGAUUCAUAGCUAUUCUUAUGGUUUGUAUGUGUGUUUGAUCCUGAGCUUUGUUCACCGAGAUGAUGAAUUGUUGAUAUUCUUGGUUAGAAUAAUUUUCAGUGUGUGCAUAGCAAAAAAAUUGGAGAGUAUAAUUGAUAAUGAUCUGCAGGAAUAAGAAUAUAUACACUCCAUUUGUUGUGGCAGUGAUAUGAGUUCAGAGUCAUAUUUCACAGACCUACUAGGGGCUGAUGUUGAAGAGUCUCAAUAUCUUUCGCCUACUACACACACCCACUGAUCAUGGUCUUGCUGCAUCUAAAGGAUCACAGGGAAGAACAAAAAAUUUCAAAGAUGAGAGAGGACAGACUUCUUGUAUCUGCUUGGCUAAAUGUGGACAUGGAUCCUAUUAAGGAGUUGAUCAACCACAAAGCUCCUUUUGGGCAAGAAUUCAUGAUUAUUACCAUGCUAACAAGUCAUUCCAGUCAGAUCGUACACAAGGUUCUUUAAUGAAUCAUUGGUCGGCUAUUCAACAUGAUGUGAAUAUUUUCUGUUCAUGUGUCACCAGGAUUCAGGAUAGAAACCAGAGUGGUUGCUCAGUUGAUGACAAGAUUGCAAGUGCAUGUGCACUGUUCAAGGAAGAAGACAAGAAGCACAGGAACUUUGCCUUAAUGCAUUGCUGGAGAAUUCUGAAGGACAAGCCCAAGUGGAUGGAAAGACGCAUUCAAAAUGGUGGAACAACAACAGAUAGUAAUAAGAAACAGAAGACAAAGGCGAACUCAUCCCUGUCAUCACUUGUACCCGUGUCCUCACUUGCUACUGGCGGUGUUCAUGUAGCAGCAGCAGCAGCACAAGAUGCUUCAAAAAGACCGGACGGAAAGAAGACGGAGAAAAAGAAGUUACAUCAGUGCUCGAUCAUCGAAGCAUUGGACUAUCUUGUGGCAAAGAAGAAAGAAGCUGAUGCUCAGAAAGAUUUGAUGCUCAGAAAGAUUUGAAGAAAGAUCAAGGCCUUUGCUCUGCUGGAGGAAAAAAUCAAGUUGGAGAGAGAAAAAUUUAAGUUCCAAAGGAAGCGAGAAGAGGAGAGGAUUCUUUCACUGAAUUUGAGCAAUAUGACCUACAGACUGCAGCAAUACUAUGAAAGGCGCCAAGAUGAGAUUUUUGCAAGACGUUGUGGUUGCUAGACUACUAUAGUUUGCUUUGAACAUGUGCUUUGAACCUGUUUGCUUUGAACCUGUGUUUGAACCUGUUGCUCCCCAUUUAAUGAGAUUUUUGUAUGAGAAUAUUAAUUAUUCUCUUAUGCUGGUGGGAAGCUGAAACAAGCUCUGCAGUUUCUUGCUUCAUAAAUUAACAUAUUUGACCU